AGAGUUUGAUCCUGGCUCAGGACGAACGCUGGCGGCGUGCCUAAUACAUGCAAGUCGAGCGGACAGAUGGGAGCUUGCUCCCUGAUGUUAGCGGCGGACGGGUGAGUAACACGUGGGUAACCUGCCUGUAAGACUGGGAUAACUCCGGGAAACCGGGGCUAAUACCGGAUGGUUGUUUGAACCGCAUGGUUCAAACAUAAAAGGUGGCUUCGGCUACCACUUACAGAUGGACCCGCGGCGCAUUAGCUAGUUGGUGAGGUAACGGCUCACCAAGGCGACGAUGCGUAGCCGACCUGAGAGGGUGAUCGGCCACACUGGGACUGAGGCACGGCCCAGACUCCUACGGGAGGCAGCAGUAGGGAAUCUUCCGCAAUGGACGAAAGUCUGACGGAGCAACGCCGCGUGAGUGAUGAAGGUUUUCGGAUCGUAAAGCUCUGUUGUUAGGGAAGAACAAGUGCCGUUCGAAUAGGGCGGUACCUUGACGGUACCUAACCAGAAAGCCACGGCUAACUACGUGCCAGCAGCCGCGGUAAUACGUAGGUGGCAAGCGUUGUCCGGAAUUAUUGGGCGUAAAGGGCUCGCAGGCGGUUUCUUAAGUCUGAUGUGAAAGCCCCCGGCUCAACCGGGGAGGGUCAUUGGAAACUGGGGAACUUGAGUGCAGAAGAGGAGAGUGGAAUUCCACGUGUAGCGGUGAAAUGCGUAGAGAUGUGGAGGAACACCAGUGGCGAAGGCGACUCUCUGGUCUGUAACUGACGCUGAGGAGCGAAAGCGUGGGGAGCGAACAGGAUUAGAUACCCUGGUAGUCCACGCCGUAAACGAUGAGUGCUAAGUGUUAGGGGGUUUCCGCCCCUUAGUGCUGCAGCUAACGCAUUAAGCACUCCGCCUGGGGAGUACGGUCGCAAGACUGAAACUCAAAGGAAUUGACGGGGGCCCGCACAAGCGGUGGAGCAUGUGGUUUAAUUCGAAGCAACGCGAAGAACCUUACCAGGUCUUGACAUCCUCUGACAAUCCUAGAGAUAGGACGUCCCCUUCGGGGGCAGGGUGACAGGUGGUGCAUGGUUGUCGUCAGCUCGUGUCGUGAGAUGUUGGGUUAAGUCCCGCAACGAGCGCAACCCUUGAUCUUAGUUGCCAGCAUUCAGCUGGGCACUCUAAGGUGACUGCCGGUGACAAACCGGAGGAAGGUGGGGAUGACGUCAAAUCAUCAUGCCCCUUAUGACCUGGGCUACACACGUGCUACAAUGGACAGAACAAAGGGCAGCGAAACCGCGAGGUUAAGCCAAUCCCACAAAUCUGUUCUCAGUUCGGAUCGCAGUCUGCAACUCGACUGCGUGAAGCUGGAAUCGCUAGUAAUCGCGGAUCAGCAUGCCGCGGUGAAUACGUUCCCGGGCCUUGUACACACCGCCCGUCACACCACGAGAGUUUGUAACACCCGAAGUCGGUGAGGUAACCCUUUAGGAGCCAGCCGCCGAAGGUGGGACAGAUGAUUGGGGUGAAGUCGAAACAAGGUA
rnacentral:rRNA from 1 species